GCCACCACAAAGGUCACCCAAAAACUUCGAUGACCAAAAGAGAUCUAAAAGGACCCGCACAUUUCUGCUCCAAGAACUAAAGACAGAUUCCCAGUUUCCCACACUGCAAAAGAAGGCACCAAUGACAAACGAUGCCAACACACAAAUAACUAGAAUCCGAAAACCUAUUACAAGAGAGCGUAAAUCCAGAUCAAAAGACUCCAAGGAUGAAACAUUGAGCAGAGGAGGACAAAG
rnacentral:lncRNA from 1 species